rnacentral:rRNA from 1 species
AUUAGUCUUUUAAUUGAAGGCUUGUAUGAAUGGUUGGACAAAAAGCAAACUGUCUCAAUUAUAAUAAUUGAAUUUAACUUUUAAGUGAGAAGGCUUAAAUAAAUUAAGGGGACGAUAAGACCCUAUAAAGCUUGACAAUAAGUCGUUUAUAUUAUAAAUUGUUAGUGUAACUUGAUUUUAAACGGUGUUUGUUGCGUUGGGGCGACGGGAAUAUAAAAGGUAACUGUUCUUAUAAUAUUUAAUAACAGAAAUAUUUGGAAAAUUAAUGAUCCUUUCUUAAAGAUCAUAAGAUUAAGUUACUUUAGGGAUAACAGCGUAAUCUUCUUUGAGAGUCCAUAUCGACAGGAAGGGUUGCGACCUCGAUGUUGAAUUAAGGUAUCCUUAUAAUGCAGCAGUUAUAAAGGAAGGUCUGUUCGACCUUUAAAUC